AGGAUGAACGCUGGCGGCGUGCUUAACACAUGCAAGUCGAACGAGGCACCUUGAUUCGAUUCUUCGGAUGAAGAUCUUGGUGACUGAGUGGCGGACGGGUGAGUAACGCGUGGGUAACCUGCCUCAUACAGGGGGAUAACAGUUAGAAAUGACUGCUAAUACCGCAUAAGACCACAGCACCGCAUGGUGCAGGGGUAAAAACUCCGGUGGUAUGAGAUGGACCCGCGUCUGAUUAGGUAGUUGGUGGGGUAACGGCCUACCAAGCCGACGAUCAGUAGCCGACCUGAGAGGGUGACCGGCCACAUUGGGACUGAGACACGGCCCAAACUCCUACGGGAGGCAGCAGUGGGGAAUAUUGCACAAUGGGGGGAAACCCUGAUGCAGCGACGCCGCGUGAGCGAUGAAGUAUUUCGGUAUGUAAAGCUCUAUCAGCAGGGAAGAAAAUGACGGUACCUGACUAAGAAGCACCGGCUAAAUACGUGCCAGCAGCCGCGGUAAUACGUAUGGUGCAAGCGUUAUCCGGAUUUACUGGGUGUAAAGGGAGCGUAGACGGAGUGGCAAGUCUGAUGUGAAAACCCGGGGCUCAACCCCGGGACUGCAUUGGAAACUGUCAAUCUAGAGUACCGGAGAGGUAAGCGGAAUUCCUAGUGUAGCGGUGAAAU
rnacentral:rRNA from 1 species